rnacentral:rRNA from 1 species
AUUGAACGCUGGCGGCAGGCCUAACACAUGCAAGUCGAACGAGUGGCGGACGGGUGAGUAAUGUCUGGGAAACUGCCCGAUGGAGGGGGAUAACUACUGGAAACGGUAGCUAAUACCGCAUACCAUCGGAUGUGCCCAGAUGGGAUUAGCUAGUAGGUGGGGGAACGGCUCACCUAGGCGACGAUCCCUAGCUGGUCUGAGAGGAUGACCAGCGACACUGGAACUGAGAAACGGGCCAGGCUCCUACGGGAGGCAGCAGUGGGCAAUAUUGGACAAUGGGCGCAAGCCGGAUGCAGCCAUGCGGCGUGUAUGAAGAAGGCCUGCGGGUUGUAAAGUAUUUUCAGCGAGGAGGCGUUACGCGCAGAAGAAGCACCGGCUAACUACGUGCCAGCCGCCGCGGUAAUAC